GUGAGUAGUUCAGAGUUUGAUCCUGGCUCAGGACGAACGCUGGCGGCGUGCUUAACACAUGCAAGUCGAGCGGGGAUUCGGGGCUUCGGCCUUGGAUUCUAGCGGCGGACGGGUGAGUAACGCGUGAACAAUCUGUCCCAGACAGGGGGAUAACACUUGGAAACAGGUGCUAAUACCGCAUAAGACCACGGAGUCACAUGGCUCAGGGGUAAAAGAUUUAUCGGUCUGGGGUGAGUUCGCGUCCGAUUAGCUAGUUGGUGAGGUAACGGCCCACCAAGGCGACGAUCGGUAGCCGACCUGAGAGGGUGAUCGGCCACAUUGGAACUGAGACACGGUCCAA
rnacentral:rRNA from 1 species